ACUCCUACGGGAGGCAGCAGUGGGGAAUAUUGCACAAUGGGCGCAAGCCUGAUGCAGCCAUGCCGCGUGUAUGAAGAAGGCCUUCGGGUUGUAAAGUACUUUCAGCAGUGAGGAAGGUGGGGUAUGUUAAUAGCAUAUUCUAUUUGUACGUUAGCUGCAGAAGAAGCACCGGCUAACUCCGUGCCAGCAGCCGCGGUAAUACGGAGGGUGCGAGCGUUAAUCGGAAUUACUGGGCGUAAAGCGCAUGCAGGUGGUUGUUAAGUCAGAUGUGAAAGCCCGGGGCUCAACCUCGGAAUUGCAUUUGAAACUGGCAAACUAGAGUACUGUAGAGGGGGUAGAAUUUCAGGUGUAGCGGUGAAAUGCGUAGAGAUCUGAAGGAUACCGGUGGCGAAGGCGGCCCCUGGACAGAUACUGACACUCAGAUGCGAAAGCGUGGGAGCAAAC
rnacentral:rRNA from 1 species